rnacentral:rRNA from 1 species
AACGAACGCUGGCGGCGUGCCUAACACAUGCAAGUCGAACGCGAAAGUCCUUCGGGAUGAGUAAAGUGGCGCACGGGUGAGUAACACGUAGGUGACCUACCGUUUAGAGUGGAAUAACCAGAAGAAAUUUUGGCUAAUGCCGCAUACGAAGUGCAAAUUUUAAAGUAGCACUUGAAAGGAUGCCUCUGCAUAUGCAUCUACUGAACGAUGGGCCUGCGGAACAUUAGCUAGUUGGUGGGGUAAGUGGCCUACCAAGGCAACGAUGUUAUCCGGUCUGAGAGGAUGAUCGGACACACUGGAACUGAGACACGGUCCAGACUCCUACGGGAGGGCAGCAGUGGGGAAGUAUUGCGC